rnacentral:rRNA from 1 species
AUUGAACGCUGGCGGCAGGCCUAACACAUGCAAGUCGAACGAGUGGCGGACGGGUGAGUAAUGUCUGGGAAACUGCCUUAUGGAGGGGGAUAACUACUGGAAACGGUAGCUAAUACCGCAUACCAUCGGAUGUGCCCAGAUGGGAUUAGCUAGGUGGUGGGGGAACGGCUCACCUAGGCGACGAUCCCUAGCUGGUCUGAGAGGAUGACAAGCAACACUGGAACUGAGGCACGGUCCAGACGCCUACGGGAGGCAGCAGUGGGGAAUAUUGCACAAUGGGCGCAAGCCUGAUGCAGCCAUGCCGCGUGUAUGAAGAAGGCCUUCGGGUUGUAAAGUACUUGCAGCGGGGAGGCGUGACCCGCAGAAGAAGCACCGGCUAACUCCGUGCCAGCAGCCGCGGUAAUAC